rnacentral:rRNA from 1 species
GAGCGACAGAUAAGGAGCUUGCUCCUUUGACGUUAGCGGCGGACGGGUGAGUAACACGUGGGUAACCUACCUAUAAGACUGGAAUAACUCCGGGAAACCGGGGCUAAUGCCGGAUAACAUUUAGAACCGCAUGGUUCUAAAGUGAAAGAUGGUUUUGCUAUCACUUAUAGAUGGACCCGCGCCGUAUUAGCUAGUUGGUAAGGUAACGGCUUACCAAGGCAACGAUACGUAGCCGACCUGAGAGGGUGAUCGGCCACACUGGAACUGAGACACGGUCCAGACUCCUACGGGAGGCAACAGUAGGGAAUCUUCCGCAAUGGGCAAAAGCCUGACGGAGCAACGCCGCGUGAGUGAUGAAGGUCUUCGGAUCGAAAAACUCUGUUAUUAGGGAAGAACAAAUGUGAAAAAAACUAUA